rnacentral:rRNA from 1 species
GACGAACGCUGGCGGCGUGCUUAACACAUGCAAGUCGAACGGAAAGGCCCUGCUUUUGUGGGGUGCUCGAGUGGCGAACGGGUGAGUAACACGUGAGUAACCUGCCCUUGACUUUGGGAUAACUUCAGGAAACUGGGGCUAAUACCGGAUAGGAGCUCCUGCUGCAUGGUGGGGGUUGGAAAGUUUCGGCGGUUGGGGAUGGACUCGCGGCUUAUCAGCUUGUUGGUGGGGUAGUGGCUUACCAAGGCUUUGACGGGUAGCCGGCCUGAGAGGGUGACCGGCCACAUUGGGACUGAGAUACGGCCCAGACUCCUACGGGAGGCAGCAGUGGGGAAUAUUGCACAAUGGGCGGAAGCCUGAUGCAGCAACGCCGCGUGCGGGAUGACGGCCUUCGGGUUGUAAACCGCUUUCGCCUGUGACGAAGCGUGAGUGACGGUAAUGGGUAAAGAAGCACCGGCUAACUACGUGCCAGCAGCCGCGGUGAUACGUAGGGUGCGAGCGUUGUCCGGAUUUAUUGGGCGUAAAGGGCUCGUAGGUGGUUGAUCGCGUCGGAAGUGUAAUCUUGGGGCUUAACCCUGAGCGUGCUUUCGAUACGGGUUGACUUGAGGAAGGUAGGGGAGAAUGGAAUUCCUGGUGGAGCGGUGGAAUGCGCAGAUAUCAGGAGGAACACCAGUGGCGAAGGCGGUUCUCUGGGCCUUUCCUGACGCUGAGGAGCGAAAGCGUGGGGAGCGAACAGGCUUAGAUACCCUGGUAGUCCACGCUGUAAACGGUGGGUACUAGGUGUGGGGUCCAUUCCACGGGUUCCGUGCCGUAGCUAACGCUUUAAGUACCCCGCCUGGGGAGUACGGCCGCAAGGCUAAAACUCAAAGGAAUUGACGGGGCCCCGCACAAGCGGCGGAGCAUGCGGAUUAAUUCGAUGCAACGCGUAGAACCUUACCUGGGUUUGACAUGGAUCGGGAGUGCUCAGAGAUGGGUGUGCCUCUUUUGGGGUCGGUUCACAGGUGGUGCAUGCCUGUCGUCAGCUCGUGUCGUGAGAUGUUGGGUUAAGUCCCGCAACGAGCGCAACCCUUGUUCACUGUUGCCAGCACGUUAUGGUGGGGACUCAGUGGAGACCGCCGGGGUCAACUCGGAGGAAGGUGGGGAUGACGUCAAGUCAUCAUGCCCCUUAUGUCCAGGGCUUCACGCAUGCUACAAUGGCUGGUACAGAGAGUGGCGAGCCUGUGAGGGUGAGCGAAUCUCGGAAAGCCGGUCUCAGUUCGGAUUGGGGUCUGCAACUCGAUCUCAUGAAGUCGGAGUCGCUAGUAAUCGCAGAUCAGCAACGCUGCGGUGAAUACGUUCCCGGGGCU